rnacentral:rRNA from 1 species
GGCGUAAUGAUGGCCAGACUGUCUCCACCCGAGACUCAGUGAAAUUGAAAUUGCUGUGAAGAUGCAGUGUACCCGCGGCAAGACGGAAAGACCCCGUGAACCUUUACUAUAGCUUGACAUUGAACAUUGAUUUUUAAUGUGUAGGAUAGGUGGGAAACUAUGAACCUUUUACGCUAGUUUAAGGGGAGUUGACCUUGAAAUACCACCCUUUAAUAGUUAAUUUUCUAAUCUAGUACCGUUAUCCGGUAUGGAAACAGUGUCUGGUGGGUAGUUUGACUGGGGCGGU